GCUACUUACAGGCGCCACAAGAAAGUUGUAUUCCCAGAUCACAGACCAGAAGCCGUCCGAUCCAGAGGAUCCUUCACCAACGUCGGUGACACCUGGCGAGUGGAUCUGGGUGAAAAAACACCAUCGAAAGACCCUAGAAGACCGGUGGGAGGGGCCAUACAAGGUACUCUUGGCCACACCCUUUUCUGUUUCUGUAGAGGACCGACGUGGGGCCCAGUGGCACCACCUGAGCCGGUGCCGCAAAGCAGAUACUCCUGGCAGAUCGUGGACUGAGACCCUGACCGACCUAGCUGCACUCCAAGCCAAGGACAAACACUCCUCAUCCCAAGACGAUGGGCCACAGCGUGCCCUUGGGAAAGUACCUGGUAGGAUUCCUUCUGGCAGUCCUGUUCCAAGAAGGAGCGGGAGACAACAUCGCCAGCACCAGAUGGGUCCGUGGCCAGGGCAUUGGCUGGACUGCAAUCCCUCAAGUUGGAGUUGGCCGAGAACUCCGGUAUUGGUGACCCAAUAGCUGGAUGGAUGGAGAACCUGUUUGGUAGGUGGAGAGGUAUGAUCCAGUCAGUACUCAUCGCGGGAAUAAUGGCAUUAGCCGUGGUAACUGUUAUCAGCUGCUGUUGUAUUCCCUGCGCACGAGGGCUACUGAAUCGGCUGAUCACCACAGCAGUGGGCGCUACACAAGUGCCAGGCGA
ensembl:lncRNA